UACGUAGGGGGCAAGCGUUGUCCGGAUUUAUUGGGCGUAAAGAGCGUGUAGGCGGCCAUGCAGGUCAGCUGUGAAAACUCGAGGCUCAACCUCGAGACGUCGGUUGAAACCGUAUGGCUAGAGUCCGGAAGAGGAGAGGUGGAAUUCCCGGUGUAGCGGUGAAAUGCGCAGAUAUCGGGAAGAACACCUAUGGCGAAGGCAGCUCUCUGGGACGGUACUGACGCUGAGACGCGAAAGCGUGGGAGCGAACAGG
rnacentral:rRNA from 1 species